CCUCUGCUGUGUGCCUCAGAUGCUGACAGAUGACAUGCUCAGCUUUGGGCAGAACUGAGAAUACUGUAUCGCAUGAGGAGCACUUAAUGCAAUUCAGAGUCUGAACAAACACAGUCCUACGCAGGGGAUAAAGUGUGAGAGUGACAGGAUGCCAACACAUCAUGACAGCUACUGUGCUGCCUGACCCGCAACAUUUAUGCAGUUUCUAAAAGUGCCUAAGAAGCAGAUUUUAUCAUCGCAUCCAGGGCAUCAACCUUAUAUUUUGAGGUGUUCAUUACCCAUAAUCCCAUGGGCUCUGGGAAGACAUCAAACUGGAGUUCAUUAGUUAACAUUUUAAAAGGACACGAUUUGAAGAUGCUCCCCCAGGUGCCCUGAUUUCAGCAAUUUUGCUUCAUAUGCCAAGUGCUGAAAACAGCUAAACCACUAUUACUAUCCACAAGGAAAUCCACCCACAACGCGGCCCAGUGCCAAGCAACGACUCUGAAAUGCUGACAGCGUCCCAGGGCUUUCCAACUGCAGGGACGCUGAAGCAGCUGCAAUUCUCCUCACCAAUGCAGAUGGUGAAGAGGGAGCGUUUGCGUGGGUACUCAGGAGGGUGGAUACAGACUGGAAAAGCCCGAAAGAACUUCCGCAGAUGCCCGCAGUCGUGCAGCAGUUAAGCUCCAAAUGUUAGUUACUCACUGCUCACAUCUCCCACCUGCUCCCGAUUUCUCCUUCUCAAAUCCUUCAAUUACGGUCUACCCAGUGAUCCACACUAAAAACUGCAAAAUUGGAUUUCUCUGUCCACUGCCCCACCCAUCAAAGUGAAAAAACCUCAACUCCAUACCUCUUCCCUGGCCCAUACCUACACUCCCUGGCCCUCGCAUUUCUCUAGACUAUUGCUGGAGGGUUUUCCCAGGUUUUUGUUUGACCAUAAUGAAUUACUAAGACAGUAUUCUACCUUUAAUAAUGAUUUGAUGAUGUGUUAGAGACUUGAUAUUGGAAAAUCCAAACUGUUAAUUUAGAAAAUA